rnacentral:lncRNA from 10 species
CUCACCAGAGCAGCGCACAGCAGGCCCCCGCGGAGGAUCAACGCAGUGGCUGAACACCGGGAAGGAACUGGCACUUUAAGUCUGGACAUCUGAAACUUGUUUACUCUAGCAGACCUGACCUCCAGGACCAGCCUUGGGCAUCAGUAAACUGGGAGCUAUACGUGGACGGGAACAGCUUCAUCAACCCACAAGGAGAGAGAUGUGCAGAAUAUGCGGUGGUAACCCUGGACACUGUCGUUAAGCUGAGCUGAUUGCUUUAAUUCAGUCCUUAGAACUCAGUGAAGUUGCAGGUGUUGUGUCUUGGAUCCAUCACAGUCAGCUAACACUGGCAGCUCAGGACAAGUGGACCAGCCAGCAGGAUGCAGAUCACCCAACCUGGCUGAUCCUGAGACGAGACCAAGCUGCUGCUGAGGACGACAGCCCUGCUCUGGUCACUCCGGAGGCUGACCAGUCUACGCACGGCCGAAGCUUGAGGACUCAUCGAGCAAGUAAAUGUAGUUAAAAAUCUUAAGACUAAUAGUUUUCCUGUAAUACUAACUGUUUUCCUAUUGUUCGGUCGCUGUAUUCAACCUUUUUCCCAGGUAAGGACCUCUUUUGUCCUUGCUGGAUACGAAUAUGCUGUACAUUGUUUUGUUGUUGUUAACCCCCAUAACCAUGUUAGAAGAAACACCUAUAUAAGGUGUCCCCACUGUACACAUACUACUUAGGAAACCCAGACCUGUCCAGCCCAGUAACAAUUCUGAGUCUUUCAGUCAUUCUUUAAACAUAUAAACCAGAAGUUACCAGAACCUCCUCCUUUAGCAAAAACAGAAAAAACCUAUUUGCUCAGCUGGCUGAAAACAUUGCUAGCUGCCUAGAUGUUUCUUCAUGUUAUGUUUAUAAAAAGGCUAACAUAAGAGACCAAUGGCCUUGAGAAGCAAAAGAGUUAAUGCCUCAAGAUAACUUUAACUAGCUCUUUCCCCAAACAGAUGCCACAAGUUCAAGCAUCUGGCUCUUAAAACUUCUAUUAUUAAAAAAUACCAUGUUACUCACUAGGAAAAAGCUUUUAAGACACAGUAAAAAGAACUAACCUGCUUAAGGCAUGACAAAGUUGGUACAUGUGCAUAUACAGGUUUAACACAGGUCUGAUCCUAGGUGUUCAUUUAGAACAUAGUUUCCAGCUGUAAGAAAAUUUAAAACCCUCAUUGUAAGUGUAUUACUAGUAAUAGGAACUUGCUUGCUGCUCCCCUGUAUAUUAUAUUUGCUCCUUCAAAUGAUAAAAGGUUUUGUAGCUACCAUGGUUCAGCAGAAAACUUCAACACAAGUAUAUUACAUAAAAUACUAUCACUCUGUCUCACAAAAAGACUCAAAAAGUAAAAAUAAAAGAACUCCCACUGAUUAGUGAAAAUUCUCAAAGGGGGAGAUAAGGAAGGAGACCACUACUACUCCUGCUGCCCUCCUCUCCCCACCUUGCCUAGUUCGCAAGACAGGAGGAGAGAAAAACAAAAAGUUGGAAAAAAAACAAAAGUAAGAUAAACAGCCAGACAACCUUGGCACCACCACCCGGCCUUAGGAGUUAAAAAAAGUAAUAAUGAUAACCUCAACCCCUGACCUAAACUACUUGUGUUGUCUGUAAAUUUCAGACACUGUAUGAAAAAAAGCAUUGUAAAACUUUUUGUUCUGUUAGCUGAUGCAUAUAGCCCCCAGUCAUGUUUCCCAUGCUUGCUUGAUGUACCACGACCCUUACACGUGGACCCCUUAAAGUUGUAAACCUUUAAAAAGGCCAAGAAUUUCUUUUUCGGGGAGCUCGGCUCUUAAGACACGAGUCUGACAAUGCUCCUGGCCGAAUAAAAACCUCUUCCUUCUUUAAUUCAGUGUCUGAGGAGUUUUGUCUGUGGCUCGUCCUGCUACAAUAAAAGGUUAAAAAGAGUCUAUAAAAUCUUACCUUAUGGUCAAACAUUAAAAAUUAGAUAAAUA